UAUAUACUCCCUCCGUUCGGAAUUACUUGUCUCGAAAAUGGAUGUAUCUAGAACUAAAGUACAUCUAAAUACAUCCAUUUCUACGACAAGUAAUUCCGAACGGAGGGAGUAUCUG
rnacentral:pre_miRNA from 1 species